rnacentral:rRNA from 1 species
GAUGAACGCUGGCGGCGUGCCUAAUACAUGCAAGUCGAGCGAACAGACGAGGAGCUUGCUCCUCUGACGUUAGCGGCGGACGGGUGAGUAACACGUGGAUAACCUACCUAUAAGACUGGGAUAACUUCGGGAAACCGGAGCUAAUACCGGAUAAUAUAUUGAACCGCAUGGUUCAAUAGUGAAAGACGGUUUUGCUGUCACUUAUAGAUGGAUCCGCGCCGCAUUAGCUAGUUGGUAAGGUAACGGCUUACCAAGGCGAAGAUGCGUAGCCGACCUGAGAGGGUGAUCGGCCACACUGGAACUGAGACACGGUCCAGACUCCUACGGGAGGCAGCAGUAGGGAAUCUUCCGCAAUGGGCGAAAGCCUGACGGAGCAACGCCGCGUGAGUGAUGAAGGUCUUCGGAUCGUAAAACUCUGUUAUUAGGGAAGAACAAAUGUGUAAGUAACUAUGCACGUCUUAACGGUACCUAAUCAGAAAGCCACGGCUAACUACGUG